rnacentral:rRNA from 1 species
UACGAAGGGGGCUAGCGUUGCUCGGAAUCACUGGGCGUAAAGCGCACGUAGGCGGAUUGUUAAGUCAGGGGUGAAAGCCCGGGGCUCAACUCCGGAAUUGCCUUUGAAACGGGAUCGCUAGAGUCCGAGAGAGGAUGGCGGAAUUCCUAGUGUAGAGGUGAAAUUCGUAGAUAUUAGGAAGAACACCGGUGGCGAAGGCGGCCAUCUGGCUCGGUAUUGACGCUCAGGCGCGAAAGCGUGGGGAGCAAACAGG